UGAGGCUCUAGGUGCCCCAGGAGCAGGGCCUUCUGCAGCAAGGCCGGGAACUGCUGCACCAUUGAUACCAGAGAUGAGACUGAGGUUUCUCACCGGUUCCUAAGCCCAGUCAGAGCUGUCAGGUAAUUACAGGGUAACCGACAGCCCAGAGCCGGGCGGGCGUGGAGCCGGAGCGUCAGUCUCGCCGGGCGCUCCUUCCCUGCGCCCCUGUCUGGAAAAGAGGAGACCUGGAAGCCGGGUUAAACUUUAACACGGGUCGGGCACAGAGCAGGGGGAAUCAGCUACUCUGUGCCAAGCUGGUCAGAGCUCUGCGGGCUGCCGUCCUUGGCCAAGAGCGUGUGGGCUCGCUCCGGUCUCUGCCCAGGCUGGUAAACAAGGGCGUGGAAAAGAUACCCCAGUCUGCGGUGACGAGGACUCCAGUGCCCGAAGUGCAGCUCGCCCAGCCCUAGCUCAGUG
rnacentral:sRNA from 1 species